rnacentral:rRNA from 1 species
AUACGUAGGUGGCGAGCGUUAUCCGGGAAUUAUUGGGCGUAAAGAGUCGCGCAGGUGGUUGAUUAAGUCUGAUGUGAAAGCCCACGGCUUAACCGUGGAGGGUCAUUGGAAACUGGUCGACUUGAGUGCAGAAGAGGGAAGUGGAAUUCCAUGUGUAGCGGUGAAAUGCGUAGAGAUAUGGAGGAACACCAGUGGCGAAGGCGGCUUCCUGGUCUGUAACUGACACUGAGGCGCGAAAACGUGGGGAGC